rnacentral:lncRNA from 1 species
CUCCUGUGCCUGUUGCCCAGAGCUGUGUUAGUCACCCACGCUCAUUCGCUCCCGUCCGUGACCACCACCCCGGGUGGGCGGAUCUCCGUGACUAGUCUACGUUUGGGGAAGACGCACGGGGCUCAAGUUCUCGUGGCAGUCGAGCACUGUAGACACUCCUUCUCCCCUCCUUUCUUAUACCUCCUCUAUCCAUCUGUCAUUAACGAGUGGCACGUUUUGUUUGGUCAAGAUGGGGCAGGAACAUGCUAGACCUGCUAAAGGUUUAUUGGCUUGUGAUAUUGUGAAAGAAAGGGCAGGGGAAGAUGCUAUGAUGAAACUUAAAAAGGUUGCUAAGGUGUGUGGCUUUCAGAUGUUACCCAGUGGGAGAUUGCAACCGGAGUUUUGGAGAAAGCUACUCAUAGAUAAGGAAGGUUUAUUGUUGGAUAACGGACUGACAAAGGUUGCAGAGGCUUGGUAUCGUGUAGCCAGAGGUUUGAAACGGGAAGGAUGGGUCGAGGAAGAGUUGGAAUUUGAAGGACAAAUUGUGCAUGUUUACCAUAGGAGUGUUCACAAUGAUGAUGUUGUUUCCAUUGUUCCACGGCCACCACCCUAUGAUGGCGCCCAGAGCGCAACAGUAAAUUCCCGCCCUGCUUCUCCCGUCACAGCUCAGACCCCACCCCCCGGGGGUGUGCCUACAGCCCCCACUCCCUUAUGUCCUGUACUCGGUGUAGACGGAGCUUACUAUUUCCCAGUGCCACAUCACUCGUUCCCACCCACUCCCAUGCCCCAACCCCCCUGUGACCAGACCCCCUCUUUCAACCAUCGUCCCGCCAUGUCCAUCGGAGCCCCCCCACCUCCAUGCCCUCCGUUACCUUUCCCAGCGCCAGUCCUCACCCCGAACACUGCCCCGACUAUUCCCGCCUCGACCAUGGAAGUUCCAUCCCCCUCCUCCUCCCAGUCCCUCUCCACUUUGAGUACCCCUUCCCUAGUAGUCCCCGCUCCUUCUCCAUCUCCGUCCGUCCUACGUCCUACACCCCCCGCUCCUAUCUACCCAACCGACCCUGUCUCCCCGGACCCCUGUCCCCCGGUCGACUCUCCCUCCCCGGUAUCCUCAGGAAAUCCCGUGACCCCCAGCCCUACACCUCCAUUGUCCCCCACCCCUUCUCAUCUCCUCUCCUCCUCCUCCUCAUCUUCCAAAGAUCCCCCGUCCCUACUCUCCGCUCUCAUGAAUCUUGUUCAGCCCGUUAGUCCCGGUUCCUUUACCUCCGGCCCCCUAUCCACAGUUACCCCUCCCAUCCUCAAGGACCCUCUUACUCCUCCUCCAGCGUUACCUCCUCCUGAAACCCCAGCCCCCUCUGCCUUGUUGCCUCCUACUCCCGCGGCCGAUUUGCCGUCCCUAAUCUCCGCCCUCACCGCCCUAACCCAACCCAUUGCCGUCACCCCUCUCACUCCUCCUCCAGCGUUACCUCCUCCUGAAACCCCAGCCCCCUCUGCCUUGUUGCCUCCUACUCCCGCGGCCGAUUUGCCGUCCCUAAUCUCCGCCCUCAGCACCCUAACCCAACCUCCCGUCGCAAUCCCCCCGGCCUCUUUUCCCCUGUUACCACCCCCCGACAUCCCUGCCCCCCCGACCCUGACACAGGCCCUUGGUUCCGUCCCUCCGACCCUUUCCCCCAUGACCCCUGACACACACAUGACCAAUGACCUGUCCGGCUCAAUAUCCGCCCUCUUCACUGCUGUUACUUCCCUAGUUACUUCCGCGACCCCCGUACCACCUCCCAUUGACGUACCUCCUCUUCCUCCUCCUCCUCCUCCCCCCGAACCGACCCCACCCUUGUCUCCUGCCGAAGUCCCCGAGCCCUCCGAUCCAAUCUCCGCCCUUGCACAUGUCCUAAAUACACACCUCUCACGCCCAACCCACCCGGCCCCUGUGACAGCCCCUUCCCCGGCUUUGGUCCCUCGUGUCCCUUCCGCCAGUCCAAGUUACCCAAUCAUGGUGGUUGGAUCCGAGGUGUCUGGGACAUCUGACCAGCCCUAUGCAAUGGGUGCCUCCCCCCAGGCUUCGGGUUUCCACCCAGUUACCUUACCUACCACAGCCCUCCCUGUUGUCCCCGCUACAGCUACCCCUGAGGCUACCCUCCGCCGUGGCCCAGUGUUGCCCGAAGAGGUUGUUGCGGUUGACCAGAAUUCGCCCCAGGUGGGGGUGAAUAGGCUCCCCCAACAGCACACUAUCCCUCAAGGUUACAUCCCGAUCAACCAUGGUGCGGAUGGAGCACCGCCUAUGUAUGUUACCUUUAACCCUUCCCAAGCUGCUACCCUUGUGACCUCACUCCCCGAUCCUGAAAAACACCCUAUGCCCUUUUUCCGCCGGAUGGCUCAGAUCCGUAAAACGUACUCCGCUGCUUGGCGGGAUCUUAUUAGUCUAUGUGAAAUCAAAGCCGGUGAUGCAUACUGGCCAAUCAUGGAACGGAGUUUUAAUGACGCUCCACUUACUUCUGAUACUGACUUUCGUUCUGGUGAAGUCUUUUGUGAACAGCUUCGAGCUUGGGCACAGGAUAAACUAGCAGAUCAGGCUACUUGCAUUAAUGACAUUAUACAGGACAAACUUGAGACAGUUGAGAAGUAUCACUCUAGGUUGACUCAGACUUUUUCAGACUUAGGGUUUAGUACUUACAACAAAGCACACACCCAGAUGCUAUCUGCAGCCUUUGUGGCAGGGCUUAGAGAACACAUCCGUAAGGGGUUAAUCUUAGCUCGGCCUGAGUAUAGAAUUAUUCCACUGGACACUCUUUUGCUAGUUGCCAAGGGCUUAGAAUCUGUUUUGCUACCUACACUACGUAGACCCAGUCCUCUGAUGUAUGCUACCUCCACCCCAUUCGCUGGUCCAGGCCAGGGUCCUCAGAUGUUUCCCCAACAGUACACCCAGCCCCCCCAGACACUGCCUGCACCAAUUCCUUUCUCCCGUGAUCGGUCUGUCACGACAAUCCGGACCUGCUUUAAUUGUAAUCAGCCAGGUCACUUUAGAAGAGAUUGCCCACACCCUAGAGUGUUCCGCCAGCAGACUCCCCGGUACCAAAAUCCACAUGUCACCAGUUACAGUUUCCCCUCCACCGGUUACCUCCCUACCCUACCCCAUCCACAGUUGCCUCAGUUACCUCCUCCACCUCCUCCCCCUCCGCCUCCUGAGUAUUCCCAAGCCCGGCUCCCCGCAGCAGAAGCCCGUGCAUACACCUCGCCCUCUGCUGAAGGGUAUGAUACUGAUGACCUCCAAGACAACCCACCUCAUCCCCGCCAUGCCCUCCGUCCAUCCCGCCCACCUAUGCAUACUGCUAACCCUCCCUCCACCUCCCACCGGUACCAGGGACCGGAUCAAGCCCACCUAGAUUUAUUACAAUAGGUAACUGGCAAGCCUGUGUCAGCAACCCCUGCCAUGGCAGUGUCUGCGGGGGAUGGAGGAGGACCUUUAGCUACUGUAGUUCUCCCCGUGGAGGGUCACCCAACCACCUUUUUAGUUGACACAGGUGCAGCCCGUAGUGUCCUUAGGGAACAAGACCUGCCAGACCCUUCCUUCCUAUCUGACACUGAUGUCUCCUGUGUUGGGGUGGAUGGUACACCACGCAGUAACCCCCUCACCAAGCUCUUACAUGUAGGCUCACAUAUCCUGUCCCGUUUUGUUGUUUCCUCCACCUGCCCCAUUAACCUCCUAGGUGCCGAUGUUCUCUCUCGGCUCCAGGCUUCCAUUACCUUUACUGCUGAUGGACAGGUUGAGUUGACAACCCCCUUAUCGCAGAAAGAUACUUCUGUACUCUGCUCACUCCCAAUUUUGUUGAAUCUAACUGACAAUACAGGGAAUGCACGGGUCACACACACCCCCAGUGCCCUGGAUCGUAUCCCCCAAGAACUUUGGUCCACCGGCCCGGAUGAUAUUGGACGCUUACAUGUACCCCCAGUCCUGGUCCAGCUCCUGCCUGGUGCACUCCCCCCUCGUAGACCUCAGUAUCCUCUGAAGCCAGCACAAGCUGAGGCCAUCACCAAGCAAGUUGAGACCCUGCUUGCAAAAGGUGCCCUCACCAAGUGUACAUCUCCAUGCAACACCCCUCUCUUCCCUGUUAAAAAGCGAACUGUUAAGGGCCAACCCGACCAAUACCGUAUGGUACAGGACCUCCGUGCUGUUAACGAGGUAACCAUAAAGGACACUGCUAUUGUUCCAAACCCUCAUACCCUUUUGUCCCAAGUGCCUCCAACUUCAACAAUUUUUACUGUUGUGGAUCUGGCUAAUGCCUUUUUCAGUGUUCCCCUUGAUCCCUCCUGCCGUUUUCUCUUCGCCUUUACACAUGAAGGACAACAAUAUACUUGGACUGUUAUGCCCCAGGGAGCGCAGAACUCCCCAACACAGUUUGCUCAUGCCAUGUCUCUGGUUCUGGAUCCCUGGCAGAAAUCACAUCUCGAUGUUGUUCUACUACAAUAUGUUGAUGACCUUCUACUCUGUGCUCCUAAUUUGCUAAUUGCAGAACGUGACUCAGAAGAUCUCUUAUGUUUCCUCGCUGCUGCCGGGUGCAAGGCCUCAAAAUCAAAGCUACAAUGGUGCCGGCCCUCUGUGGUCUUCUUGGGACACUGCCUUUCCCAUGGCACCAAACAUCUAACCUCACAACGGGUGCAAGCUAUCCUGCAACUCCCAUUACCUGCAACCCAUCACUCUCUUCAUGCUUUCUUGGGUCUCAUAACAUACUGCAGGUCUUGGAUACCUGAAGCAUCCAAACUCAUGCAACCUCUCUAUGAUGCACUUCGAAGCGAGCCCUUUCACCUCACUGAAGAAACUAUUGACUGUUUCCAUACUCUGAAAAGAGCUAUUGCCUCUGCUCCUGCCUUGGGCCUACCCAACUAUCAACUCUCUUUCAAUUUGUUUGUCUCUGAAAAAUCAGGACAUGCUUCCGGAG